GUACUGUUGAUCUAAACUGUGGCAAUGGUUCUUCCUCACUGCCAUCUUCUCCACCUACAACAUUUAAGGAUCCUUGUUUGUUGAAUUUGUGUGGAGAUGGAACUUGUGAGAGUAAUGGCUCUGAUUUUAGGUGUCAUUGCAAUGAAGGCUCUGCCAAUCUACUCGGCGAUCCAAAGCUCAUUUGCAUUAAGAAAUGCACUUUGGGAGGGGAUUGUGGGGGAUUUAAUCUAGGGUUUGACUCAUCACCUAACGAAACUCAGCCACCACCGGAAAAAUCAGGGACCAGUGGCUCUCCUCCGACUUCUCCGACGGCAGUGUCAGGUGAAACGCUGCGUUGCAUAAAGGGGCUUCAUGUGCCAGCUUGGUUGUUAUUAGCAUUAAUAUUUGAAGCAUGGAUUUAAAAGGGAAGGCGAAACUGCAGAAAUACAGAAAAUAAACCCUUUUCUAAAUAAAACAGUCUUUUGUUUAUUUCUAUAAUUGGUUACUUAAUUAGAAAUUAGUAACUGUGUUAAAGUUAAUUAGAAAUUAGUAACAGUGUUA